rnacentral:rRNA from 1 species
CUACGGGCUGCUCCAGUUAGGUAUAAUCUACAAUGUACGCAAGUAUGAUAGUUUGAGCCAGAGUGCGUUUCAAUUGAAACGCUUUUGCUAAAUGUAAAAAGUUUGGCGAAUAAGGACUGGGUAAGACGAGUGCCAGCCGCCGCGGUAAUACUCGCGGUCCAAGUCGCAGCCAUUUUUAUUGGGUCUAAAACAUCCGUAGCUUGUUUGGUAAGUUUCCUGUGAAAUCCGGCGUCUCAAACGUCGGGCGCGCGGGAAGUACUGCCAGGCUAGAGACCGGAAGACGCAAGAAGUACGUUCAAAGUAGCGUUAAAAUGUUUUAAUCUUGAGCGGACUCACAAUAGCGAAGGCAUCUUGCGAGUACGGUUCUGACAGUCAGGGAUGAAGGCCAGGGGCGCAAAACGGAUUAGAUACCCGUGUAGUC